rnacentral:tRNA from 1 species
GUAAAUAUAGUUUAUUCAAAACCCUAGAUUGUGAAUCUAGCAAUAGAAGCUCUUAUCUUCUUAUUUACC